rnacentral:SRP_RNA from 1 species
GCCGGGCGUGGUGGCGCAUGCCUGUAAUCCCAGCUACUUAGGAGGCUGAAGCAGAAGAAUCGCUUGAACCUGGGAGGUGGAGGUUGCAGUGAGCCAUCGUGCCACUACACUCCAGCCUGGGUGACAAAGCGAGAUUCUGUCUCAA